rnacentral:rRNA from 1 species
AGUAAAUAGAUACCCCGGUAGUCCACGCCGUAAACGAUGUCGACUUGGAGGUUGUGCCCUUGAGGCGUGGCUUCCGGAGCUAAACGCGUUAAAGUCGACCGCCUGGGGAGUACGGCCGCAAGGUUAAAACUCAAAUGAAUUGACGGGGGCCCGCACAAGCGGUGGAGCAUGUGGUUUAAUUCGAUGCAACGCGAAGAACCUUACCUACUCUUGACAUCCAGAGAACUUAGCAGAGAUGCUUUGGUGCCUUCGGGAACUCUGAGACAGGUGCUGCAUGGCUGUCGUCAGCUCGUGUUGUGAAAUGUUGGGUUAAGUCCCGCAACGAGCGCAACCCUUAUCCUUUGUUGCCAGCGGUCCGGCCGGGAACUCAAAGGAGACUGCCAGUGAUAAACUGGAGGAAGGUGGGGAUGACGUCAAGUCAUCAUGGCCCUUACGAGUAGGGCUACACACGUGCUACAAUGGCGCAUACAAAGAGAAGCGACCUCGCGAGAGCAAGCGGACCUCAUAAAGUGCGUCGUAGUCCGGAUUGGAGUCU